AGAGUUUGAUCAUGGCUCAGAUUGAACGCUGGCGGCAGGCCUAACACAUGCAAGUCGAACGGUAACAGGAAGCAGCUUGCUGCUUUGCUGACGAGUGGCGGACGGGUGAGUAAUGUCUGGGAAACUGCCCGAUGGAGGGGGAUAACUACUGGAAACGGUAGCUAAUACCGCAUAACGUCGCAAGACCAAAGAGGGGGACCUUAGGGCCUCUUGCCAUCGGAUGUGCCCAGAUGGGAUUAGCUAGUAGGUGGGGUAAAGGCUCACCUAGGCGACGAUCCCUAGCUGGUCUGAGAGGAUGACCAGCCACACUGGAACUGAGACACGGUCCAGACUCCUACGGGAGGCAGCAGUGGGGAAUAUUGCACAAUGGGCGCAAGCCUGAUGCAGCCAUGCCGCGUGUAUGAAGAAGGCCUUCGGGUUGUAAAGUACUUUCAGCGGGGAGGAAGGGAGUAAAGUUAAUACCUUUGCUCAUUGACGUUACCCGCAGAAGAAGCACCGGCUAACUCCGUGCCAGCAGCCGCGGUAAUACGGAGGGUGCAAGCGUUAAUACGGAGGGUGCAAGCGUUAAUCGGAAUUACUGGGCGUAAAGCGCACGCAGGCGGUUUGUUAAGUCAGAUGUGAAAUCCCCGGGCUCAACCUGGGCUCAACCUGGGAACUGCAUCUGAUACUGGCAAGCUUGCAUCUGAUACUGGCAAGCUUGAGUCUCGUAGAGGGGGGUAGAAUUCCAGGUGUAGCGGGGGGUAGAAUUCCAGGUGUAGCGGUGAAAUGCGUAGAGAUCUGGAGGAAUACCGGUGGCGAAGGCGGCCCCCUGGACGAAGACUGACGCUCAGGUGCGAAAGCGUGGGGAGCAAACAGGAUUAGAUACCCUGGUAGUCCACGCCGUAAACGAUGUCGACUUGGAGGUUGUGCCCUUGAGGCGUGGCUUCCGGAGCUAACGCGUUAAGUCGACCGCCUGGGGAGUACGGCCGCAAGGUUAAAACUCAAAUGAAUUGACGGGGGCCCGCACAAGCGGUGGAGCAUGUGGUUUAAUUCGAUGCAACGCGAAGAACCUUACCUGGUCUUGACAUCCACGGAAGUUUUCAGAGAUGAGAAUGUGCCUUCGGGAACCGUGAGACAGGUGCUGCAUGGCUGUCGUCAGCUCGUGUUGUGAAAUGUUGGGUUAAGUCCCGCAACGAGCGCAACCCUUAUCCUUUGUUGCCAGCGGUCCGGCCGGGAACUCAAAGGAGACUGCCAGUGAUAAACUGGAGGAAGGUGGGGAUGACGUCAAGUCAUCAUGGCCCUUACGACCAGGGCUACACACGUGCUACAAUGGCGCAUACAAAGAGAAGCGACCUCGCGAGAGCAAGCGGACCUCAUAAAGUGCGUCGUAGUCCGGAUUGGAGUCUGCAACUCGACUCCAUGAAGUCGGAAUCGCUAGUAAUCGUGGAUCAGAAUGCCACGGUGAAUACGUUCCCGGGCCUUGUACACACCGCCCGUCACACCAUGGGAGUGGGUUGCAAAAGAAGUAGGUAGCUUAACCUUCGGGAGGGCGCUUACCACUUUGUGAUUCAUGACUGGGGUGAAGUCGUAACAAGGUAACCGUAGGGGAACCUGCGGUUG
rnacentral:rRNA from 1 species